GGCGGGACUGCCUGUUUGUUGCUGUCCAUAGGGGCGGGACUUCCUGCUUUACCCUGGCGGCGGAGGCGGGACUUCCUGCUCUGCUGCCGGUGGGGGGGGCGGGACUUCCUGCUUCCACUCCGACCCCGCCCACCCCCAGGGAAGGGCCCCAGGGCGCUGUGGGGCUGGGAGCUAUGGGGCGCUGUGGGGCGUUACGGGCGCUAUGGGGCGCUGUGGGGCACCACAAGUGCCAUGGGGCUGGGGGUGUAGGGGUCAGGGUGCUGUGGGCGCUAUGGGGCUGGGCCCUAUAUCGGGGCAAUCGCACGGCACCCCCAGGUACUUGGGGGUGCUGGGAGAGGGAGGGGGGCACC
rnacentral:lncRNA from 1 species